rnacentral:SRP_RNA from 1 species
UUUGGCUCUGCUAACAGGUGAGUGCCCAACCCCGUCAGGUCCGGAAGGAAGCAGCGGUAAGCAUGUAUCUUGUGUAGCCAGAGCCUUUUUU